rnacentral:lncRNA from 1 species
ACGUGAUUAUUUUCUUUUGAACACAUUCCUGGAACUGAAAUAGCUGUGGUUGAGGGCACCCAGGCUUUUAAAAUAAACUUCCAGAUUGCUCUCCAGAGAGGCUGUGCUAAUUUAGUGACUUUAUUCUUUUGUCAUGUUUAAUAUCCCACUGUUUUUCUCUUUAGACCAUCUUUUGUUAAGGAGAAAUACUGUACUCCCAUCUUCCUUUUAUAUUGGCAAGUUUCUGAUUAACCUAGGGCUUCCUGUGAAAUAGGGAGAAACUGAUAUUUUGUAUCCUUUUAUCAUCUGUAUUAAUAAGCUCAUAAAGAAAGUAUCACUUUGACCCCAGAUGUCUCUUUCUUUAGCAUUGAUCAGAGACCUGUUAAGAUCCAGCCAUAUAGAACAACAACAGUAGGGUUUUACUCUCUGUUCUAUCAGUAUAUUAGCUGUGCUGGAGGUGAGGCUCCCCAACCCUUCCUCCUGCAGCCAGAGAGCUGCAUCCCUAGAAGAACUUGCUCUUACAUGACUUCCACCGCUUGCCAUUCAGUGUAAGUGCAGCAUAUUUCCAAACUGCAUAACAAAUGUGCUGUGUGAAGGCUUCCUCCUGUCUUUGUUGUCUUUCAUGCAAACAGUUCUUUUUGAUAGAAUCUGGAAUUUACCGAAUUCAUUCCGAAGGCUGUGAAAUGUGAUCUCUAUGAGUUCUAGUCUUCCUGUGAGGAUGCAUUCUUUUUGUGGAAGGCACCACGGGGUUGACACAGUAUUAUUUAUUUUUCUUCCACAUACUUUUUGUACCUUCCUCUGUAACCAGUAUGAGGCUGUAUUGAAGAGAGAUAAUCUUGCCAAGUAUUUGAUAUACAUAGAAUUCUUUGUGAGUUGCUAUUUUAACUUAAAAACUUUAAAUAAUUUAAUAUGCUAAAUAUUAUCCAUGUGCCAAAGGAAAAUAAAAGUAAGUUCUUUUCAGAGCAGGGAGUUUUAUGUCUUACAGUAUUCAGUGUGAAAUAGGAUAGAGGUGUAUCAUCAAUCACGGUGCAUGCUAGACAGAAUUUAGAGUGUUUGCAUCCUGCGAUGAGAGUUACCUGCUCUCAGUGCAGAGCAUGUUUGGGUUUUGUUUCUACUUUUUUUUUUUAUCAUAGACUUAGACUAUUCUAAAUAGGCUGAAAAUUAUCACAGAAAUUGUUGAAGUUGGCUCUGAACAAGAAUGCUUGAUCUUUCUGUAAGCAGCUUUAUUAAUGCACCUCAAGGCACUGUUCCCUACCAUUUCCUUCUGCUUAUUGCAGACCAACUAAUGUGUUAACAGAGAUCUGAAUCAUGACUUUUUUUUUUUCCCAUAGACAUAGGCCAACUCUUUCCUUGAGCUAAAAUUUAGCCAGAAAGGGAAAAAAAACAAAAAACAAAAAACAAAAAAAAA